rnacentral:lncRNA from 1 species
CCGUACACACCACACAGUAUCACACCACACAGUAAACACCACACCACACAUAUCAUCACACCACACAGUAUCACACCACACCACACUAUCACACACCAUAGACACGGAUCACACCACUACCGUAUACACCACACGUAUCACACCACACCGUAUCACACCACACAGUAUCACACACACAGUAUCACACCACACAGUAUCACACCACAACGUAUCACCACCAUACCAUACACAACACCGUAUCACACCAUACAGUAUACACCACAAUACUCACAACGACACACACAGUAUCACACACACAGUAUCACACCCAAACCUAUCACACACACCAAUCCACCGUAUCACACACACAGUACCACACAGUAUCACACCACACAGUACACACCACACAGUUCACCCAUACAGUUCACUCCACACAGUAUCACACCAUAUCAACACCACACAGUAUCAAACAACACAAUAUCACACCAACCGUAUACACACCAUACAACCUUAUCACACCACUACCGUAUCACACCACACCAGUACACACCACACAUAUCACACCACACAGUAUCAACACACCGUAUCACACCACACAGUAUCACCAACCACCACCAGUAUCACACCAUAAACCGUAUCACACCAUACCGUACACACCACACAGUAUCACACCACACAUUAUCACACCAUACCGUAUCACACACCUAUACAUCACAAACGAGUCUCACCCACCAUACAAUACCGUAUCACACACCCCCAUACCGAUACACACCAUACCUAUACCACAACCAUCACAAUCAACACGCACACAGUAUCACACACCACCAUAUCACCACACAAUACCGUCACACCAUAAACCGUAUCACACCACACAGUAUCACACCACACCGUAUCACACCACACCAUACCGUAUCACACCACAAACCAUCCAGUUCACAACCCACACCAUACCGUAUCACCAAAUCACACAACCACACCAUAACCGUACACACCACCAAUACCGUAUCCAACCACACCGUACCACCCACACCAACCGAGCACACCAUACCGUAUCACACACAUACCGUCACACAUAAACCGUAUCACACCACACAGUAUCACACCACACCGUAUCACACCACACAGUAUCCACCAACACCGUAA